GGGGUGGCGACUGGCUCCCGUGUCUGAGGGGCUCCUGCUUGUCAGGUUCUAGGGUUGAGGAGGUGUUUGGAGUCACCUUCGGGUCAGCUCUCUGCCUUAGUCUACUUUAGGAUCAACUUUCUGAAACCCGCUAAUUGGGUCGGUGUUGAUAGGGUGGUACGUCAUUGCACAAAUUAACUGUGAAGUUGUUGCUUUUUACUUUUGGGCAUUUGUGAUUUUGAUAUAUAGUACUGUGCAGUCCAGAGUUUAAUAAUUUAUUAAGGCUGGUACUUUCAUUUUCGUUUGCCUUAUGGUUAAAAAAUCUUAAUCUUUUUAAUUCAUACGAAGCUGCGUGUAUUCAUAGUACUCAUCAAUUUGAUAUAACUUAAAGGUGUAGUGCCAUUUUUUCUUUUUCUCAAGAUAAUUUAAAAUGUUUUUAAAAAUUCUCAAAUGGAGUCACCGAUAUAAAAACUGUAAUAGAAAAAUCAGUAGGAAUAGACCAAAACUAUUUUAGUAAUUAAAGACUAGAAAGUACUUUUCAACCUAUGGAAUGGGAACGGGAGUUUAAAAAAUCUGUUGCAAAGUGUAAUUAUUUCACUGUGCAGUGUUGUAGUCCUGGUGUAUGUAGCUACAUGGGCUGUAGGAACACAUAUUUGUGAAGAGCCACACAUUUGUCACUCAAUACAAAGGAAGGCUCAGUGUAUGUUUUGUGAUUCGGGAAAUCUUUUCUCUUAGUUCUCUCAAGAAAACUAUGCUUUCAGAAGUAUUGGAAAUGUAUUGAGAGUGUAUAGGCAUACUUGGAAACCCUUUCUCUAGUUUUUUUCAUGAAAGACAGUUGGUGAAGAUCUGUUUCUCUUACACACUGGUGGUUGGCAGCAUUAAAUACCUAUUAUGUAAAAUUAUAUAGGGUCCAGUUAAUGCAGCUUCUGCCAUAUUUCAAAGGUUGAUAUCAGUAGUUGAAGAAAUGAUUCAGGCUUUUGAUCGACACAUUCUUUUCAUCUUAAAGUGUUAUGUAUGUAUAACUCUGGUCUGUGAAUGUUUCUCAUUUGCAGUUUUUUCCUCCAGUAUUUUACUAUGAAAAAUUUCAAACAAUGCAGGAAAGUUGGAUUGUGUGCUGAGUACUCACCACUUACACAGCAGUAACAUUUUCAAGACGGCUUUUAUAUGGUAUAUAUAUCCUCAGGAACAGAGGAACUGAAAUUAUCAAGUUUGAAAACCAGUAUUAUAUAAAUAUAUGUGUAUCACACCAAAAUGUUGUGGAUUACUCAUUUCUCUUUGUAGAUGGAAA
rnacentral:lncRNA from 1 species